rnacentral:rRNA from 1 species
UACGUAGGGGGCUAGCGUUGCUCGGAUUGACUGGGCGUAAAGGGCGCGUAGGCGGUUCGUACAGUCAGACGUGAAAUUCCUGGGCUCAACCUGGGGGCUGCGUUUGAUACGUGCGGGCUUGAGUGCGGAAGAGGGUCGUGGAAUUCCCAGUGUAGAGGUGAAAUUCGUAGAUAUUGGGAAGAACACCGGUGGCGAAGGCGGCGACCUGGUCCGAUACUGACGCUGAGGCGCGAAAGCGUGGGGAGCAAACAGG